GUCCACGCCCUAAACGAUGAAUACUCGAUGUUAGCGAUAUACAGUUAGCGUCAAAGCGAAAGCGUUAAGUAUUCCACCUGGGGAGUACGCCCGCAAGGGUGAAACUCAAAGGAAUUGACGGGGCCCGCACAAGCGGAGGAGCAUGUGGUUUAAUUCGAUGAUACGCGAGGAACCUUUACCCGGGGCUUGAAAGUUACUGAAGUAUCCAGAGAUGGAUGCGUCCGCAAGGACAGGAAACUAGGUGCUGCAUGGCUGUCGU
rnacentral:rRNA from 1 species